rnacentral:rRNA from 1 species
AGCAUAUCAAUAAGCGGAGGAAAAGAAACCAACAGGGAUUGCCUCAGUAACGGCGAGUGAAGCGGCAACAGCUCAAAUUUGAAAUCUGGCCUCACGGUCCGAGUUGUAAUUUGUAGAGGAUGCUUUUGGCGAGGUGCUUUCCGAGUUCCCUGGAACGGGACGCCAUAGAGGGUGAGAGCCCCGUACGGUAAGACCACCGAGCCUCUGUAAAGCUCCUUCGACGAGUCGAGUAGUUUGGGAAUGCUGCUCUAAAUGGGAGGUGUACGUCUUCUAAAGCUAAAUACCGGCCAGAGACCGAUAGCGCACAAGUAGAGUGAUCGAAAGAUGAAAAGCACUUUGAAAAGAGGGUUAAAAAGUACGUGAAAUUGUUGAAAGGGAAGCAUUCAUGACCAGACUUGGGCUUGGUUGAACAUCCGGCGUUCUCGCCGGUGCACUCUGCCAGUCCAGGCCAGCAUCAGUUUGCCCCGGGGGACAAAGGCGGUGGGAAUGUGGCUCUCUUCGGGGAGUGUUAUAGCCCGCCGUGUAAUGCCCUGGGGCGGACUGAGGAACGCGCUUCGGCACGGAUGCUGGCGUAAUGGUCAUCAAUGACCCGUCUUGAAACACGGACCAAGGAGUCGUCUUCGUAUGCGAGUGUUCGGGUGUCAAACCCCUACGCGUAAUGAAAGUGAACGUAGGUGAGAGCUUCGGCGCAUCACCGACCGAUCCUGAUGUUCUCGGAUGGAUUUGAGUAAGAGCAUACGGGGCCGGACCCGAAAGAAGGUGAACUAUGCCUGUAUAGGGUGAAGCCAGAGGAAACUCUGGUGGAGGCUCGCAGCGGUUCUGACGUGCAAAUCGAUCGUCAAAUAUGGGCAUGGGGGCGAAAGACUAAUCGAACCUUCUAGUAGCUGGUUUCCGCCGAAG